rnacentral:lncRNA from 1 species
ACAACUGAUAAAAUUCGAGCCUCAAAUACAAAAGCCAGCGGAAUAACUUAAAAACUUAACCAAACCAUCUACUAUCCUCAAUUCAAAACCAUCUUCUCACUCAUCACGAAUCAAUCCUGACUUCUGAAAAUUGAAUCACAAUAAACUAUAAUGAGUACAAAACCCAGUAAGCAAACUAGUUUUUCUUAUACGGAAAAUACAUACAGACUUAUACAUAAUGCAAUGGUUGAUAUGUCAUGAUCUUUUGGAAAUACUGUAAAAUAAAUUCAUAAAAAUCUCUUUCUGUCGCUUUCAAACUUUCUUAUUUUCUUUCGAUGAAAUACGUAUCCUACAAUGUGGCACUUUGUGCUGUACGUGGCACUUUGCGGCGCCCUGGCCCUCAAGAGGUGGCCCCCGCAUAGUCCCAAGAGGUGACCCCCACACAACUUCAAGAGGUGGCCCCCAAUGCAAAAUCUCAUAAAACAUAAAUUCUGUUUGCUAAAAUCCACUUUCUCAUUCGUAGAAAACUCAAUGCAUUUUCGUGCUCAUGCCAAUGAACCAUCACACAUACAUAUGCCCAUGUACAUAAUCACGCUCAACACAUGCCAACACAUCACAUAAACACAUGGGCAAAGACAUCUAAAUCCAUAUCCGUAUAUAUAUCAAAAUAUGCUUUUCACACAAGUCAAACAUAUAUAUUGUUUAGUGUGAUUCGUUUUAAAGUCUAGUUUACUUACCUCUUGGCAUCCUCAUGUAACAAAUGCGUACUGAUACCAUUAACCUAAAAUCAUCAAUAACGCCUCAUAAGAUAUAAUCAAAUCUCAAUCACAAACUGUAAUGUCCUCAAAUAUCUCAAUUUAAACAACUCCUAAGCUCAACCUCAAAUGUCCUCAAUAAUCGGCCCUCAAAACAUAAAUCCUUUACAAAUACUCUUUAUCAGUUGUAAAGAGUUAUUUAAAUUAUAUGUGAGUUGUAGACAUAUUUGCCCUUGGAUUUCAGACUGGGGUGUUUCAAAUGGUAUCAGACCGAUUCCCAUCCGAUAAAAUUGGAACGAUACAGAGAAGAUUAGCAUAAUUCGUAACAUAAUUCCUUCAAAAACUAUUGAAAAUAAUUCACGUUUCAGACAUCAUCAAUACUGUCAAACAGUUUUCUGUUUUGAACACACUUGCUUUACAAAUACAAAACAAUUUAUUGCUUUAUCAUAAAAUCAUGAAAAUUUCCAGAAUCAUACUAGACAUAUAUAAAAAGCAUUGGUCCAAAUUUCAUAAUUUUUGAAGAAGUCUAACUAUGGUAAAAAUAAUUUCGUAAUUCACGUUAUUCACUGAAAUCAUAAAUUUCCAGGUUUUCAGACUUGAAUUUGAAAAAUCAUAAUUAAUUGAAAUCUUAUCCGAUUAACUUGAAACAAGUUUCAAAACAUUCUAGACGAUGUCUAGUUUAACAUACCCAAAAAUCAGAAUCAAAAUCAAUUUGUACAAAUUACUAUGAUUUCUGUAAUAAUUCGCUGUCAGCAUAUUUAUGUAAAAUCUUUGAUUUCUACUUCUAUUACAAUCAUGCUUCUCCACAACAAUUUAAUAGAAACCAAUAAUUAAAACGUACCUCCAAAACUUCUCCCAACAAUAACAACUUGAUCCCAUGUGUUGUCUAUGGCAAAAACUAAGAAGAAGAAGAAGACUUUCUUCUUCUCUUUUUUUCUUUUCUUUUCUCUCUUGUCUCUCCAUCUCUCUUUUUCAACCGAUCUCUCUUUUU